ACGCAGAGAUGUCUGUCAAGUAGGCUAACCUUGCAGAACAUGUAACAUUGGAAAAUGUCACUAUUGAAAUAGCAUACUGUGUUACAUUUGUAGCGUUUACUCUGACAUUGAAGUUACCCACUCCAGGACACGAAUCAUGUCCUUCGUUGUAUACCAAUGGAGCGUUUUAUUAUUAUCGACAUGAUACCAGAAUGACCUGAAUAAUGUGCUGCGUUAUUUUGAUACAUGUUUUAGCUGUAGGCUACAGCCUUUAAUCACACGUCAUCACGUGGCUAGUCUGAAACAACACACAGGUAGCCUAUUCAUUUGACUAUUUACUUCAGCCUUGGUCCUUUUGCUCUACAACCAACUGACCGAACAAACGAACGAACGAAUAUCUGCUCCGUUACAGCCUGCGUCGGCUCCAACAACUCAUCCUGACGUUACUGAUAUGUUCCUAUUUCUGAGGCAAUUUUUUUCAAAGCGAAUGAAACAAGAUCAAUAAAAAGGACUCAUUCAUUAGGGUACACUAACACACAAGAUAGCAUAUUUUAGAACUCUUUUUUUUUAUAUUAGGAGCGAUUUUAAUACAAGUAUAAACAGUCUAUUUUCAUCUCCCUGGGCAGUUUUCGGACCGUAUGGUGGGCUCUUUCUCUCCCUCGCGCGUCUUGCCUGUAUAAAUAGCCUCUCGGUUGACAACAUUCCGUCAAUGACGUAGGCCGCGCACGUAGAUGUGUAGGUGAUGUUUUUUAGUGAAUGGGUUGUCCCCUCCCCUCGGUGUCCCGGCUCCGGUUCUAUUAGCCUACUACUGCUUCUCUAUAAAAACCCUGUCAUAGAACCGGCUCACACGAACAACUUCUACAGAAGAAGGAGAAUAAGAAGAGGAGAAGAGAUGUUCUUGGAAAGAGAGAGUGUGACAUAUAUAUACUGUCCUGCAACAGGAGAAAAAGAAGUCCGUACUGACAUCUGUUGAAGUUCCUAUUUCAGCAUCUUUCCUGUAACUAAUCUCUCUGCUUGGCAAGACAGCUGUGGUGGUGUUGCGGACACUUUAAGAUGGGAGGUUGUGUGAGGUGCAGUGUUAUAUAUCCAGUCUGUUCUCUUCCUCCUCCUCUUUCUGGUUACCAUGGUUACGACCACUGACCAAUGACAGCCAGAGCAUCAGCACCUUGGCUUUAGACUGCUUACUGCUUGAAACAGUCUCACAGUUACAGUAACAGUCUACAGUCAUGGCUACUGACGCCUGGCAACUCACCGUGGUAACACACUACCUGUCCCGGAGACACCACCCUGGAAGUGCUGCCAUGGAAACUGUAGUCUGGGGUAAAGGGUUAACUAACCCCAUGACAAUGGUAUGGCAGUGGCAACUAAGGCUAUGGGAAGACCCUAACAAUGUCUGUGCCGGUAAUGUCUCAGUAAUGUCCGAGUAUGGUAUGCUAUGAUAGAAACUUUCCAGAGGACAUGGAAACUCCACAAUGCUCUCUCCUUCUCUCUCUUUGUCUUUCUCCCUCACCACCUCGCUAUCUCUCCGUCUUGUAAGUGCGCCUGUGUGUGAGGGAGCCUGCCUGCGUGGGCCUGCAUUGGGGGAGCCCUAUGCUGAUGUGCGCACAUCAUUUCCACCCACCAGCCAAUCGGACUUCACCGUCUCCAGUUACCAUGCCAACUCCCGCUCCUCCAUCUCCCUGCUGUCUCCAUGGCGACCGUGGCUUUAGAUUGUUACUCUAGAGACAGCACCAUGGUAACAGUCUACAGCCAUGGUCGUUAGGGGGCAUGCGUCACGGCGACAGUGGAAGGCAACGGAAAGAGAUGAAAAAGAAUAAGAAGAGAUCAGAGCGUGUGUGUGUGUGUGGGUGGGUGGGUGUGUGACGACAGCAGAGCGGGCAUGUGAGAGAUGGUUUUCCCAACAGGCAGGCAACCCAGAGCUCAGGCCAGCUAUCUGACAUGCGCACACACACAGCUUUCUGAGCCAGACGCUGCCUGCUGCAGUCUCCUACUAUCACUUAGUAGGUCGAAGUGACACAGACGCCGUUCACUGCUGGAAGUUCUCAUAUACAGUUCUUUACAGAGUUGUCUAUAUAUGUCAUUGGCAAAAACGAUACAUAACCAACACUUUAAAACUAAAAAUGAUUAACUUUCAUUUUAGACAUAGCUCUCUUUCUCUCUCUGUAAAGAAAACAGUCUGAUUUUGAUAAACUAGCCAAUGAAUAUGAGCUAAUAUUAGCAUUUUUUUUGGAUAAAUUUCCAUUUCAGUCAAAUUUUCCCAUUUAGCAUCUUUUAAAUAUUCCAAAAUCAUCUAAAAUUGUCUUUCAACCAAGUCAGUGAGCAACACAAUCCAUUUAGGCAAUGAUUUGGUCAUGAAAUGUCUUGCUGUUUGCUGAGCUCAACAGGUCAGUGUGUGUCAUUGAUGCCACGUCUGGAUAGAUUAAGUUAUGUCUUAGGUAGAAAGGAUCUCCUGUGAUAUAGAGACAGUACCUCAACACACACUUUCAUCUGUAAACAUUUAAACCACUGUAAACAAUGUGAUUGAUUAAAAAAAAACUAUAAAGUGAUAUUUGGAUAAA